CGGAACCUAAUGGAUGCAUUCCGUGGGAGACUUUAGGGGUUUUACGCUACAACGCGUCGAGGGGGGGGACGAUGUGACGAUACCCUAGCUCGGCGUUUCGAAGUUAUAGAUAUGAGGCGCGACAGGGAGCACGGUAAGACCGUCGCCCAACCUAGAAAGUAGUAUGUACCUCUUUCAUCGAUCUAUUAUGCAGGCGAGCAGGAUUAGGAUUAUAUAGUAAACCGAGGAUCUAAAGGUCAAACGCUCUUUCGGGGAGGAAAUGAGGGCCUUCGCUAGCAGGGCAAAUACUUUAUAUGCACCAGCGAUUUCCCAUUUUUG
rnacentral:sRNA from 1 species